GACGAACGCUGGCGGCGUGCUUAACACAUGCAAGUCGAACGGAAAGGCCCUGCUUUUGUGGGGUGCUCGAGUGGCGAACGGGUGAGUAACACGUGAGUAACCUGCCCUUGACUUUGGGAUAACUUCAGGAAACUGGGGCUAAUACCGGAUAGGAUCUCCUGCUGCAUGGUGGGGGUUGGAAAGUUUCGGCGGUUGGGGAUGGACUCGCGGCUUAUCAGCUUGUUGGUGGGGUAGUGGCUUACCAAGGCUUUGACGGGUAGCCGGCCUGAGAGGGUGACCGGCCACAUUGGGACUGAGAUACGGCCCAGACUCCUAUGGGAGGCAGCAGUGGGGAAUAUUGCACAAUGGGCGGAAGCCUGAUGCAGCAACGCCGCGUGCGGGAUGACGGCCUUCGGGUUGUAAACCGCUUUCGCCUGUGACGAAGCGUGAGUGACGGUAAUGGGUAAAGAAGCACCGGCUAACUACGUG
rnacentral:rRNA from 1 species